AUUGAACGCUGGCGGCAGGCCUAACACAUGCAAGUCGAACGAGUGGCGGACUGGUGAGUAAUGUCUGGGAAACUGCCUGAUGGAGGGGGAUAACUUAUGGAAAACGUAGCUAAAACCGCAUCCCAUCGGAUGUGCCACGAUGGGUUUAGCUAGUAGGUGGGGUAAAGGCUCACCUAGGCGACGAUCCCUAGCUGUUCUGAGAGGAUGACCAGCCACACUGGAACUGAGACACGGUCCAGACUCCUACGGGAGGCAGCAGUGGGGAAUAUUGCACAAUGGGCGCAAGCCUGAUGCAGCCAUGCCGCGUGUAUGAAGAAGGCCUUCGGGUUGUAAAGUACUUUCAGCGGGGAGGCGUUACCCGCAGAAGAAGCACCGGCUAACUCCGUGCCAGCAGCCGCGGUAAUUC
rnacentral:rRNA from 1 species